rnacentral:rRNA from 1 species
GACGAACGCUGGCGGCGUGCUUAACACAUGCAAGUCGAACGGAAAGGCCCUGCUUUUGUGGGGUGCUCGAGUGGCGAACGGGUGAGUAACACGUGAGUAACCUGCCCUUGACUUUGGGAUAACUUCAGGAAACUGGGGCUAAUACCGGAUAGGAGCUCCUGCUGCAUGGUGGGGGUUGGAAAGUUUCGGCGGUUGGGGAUGGACUCGCGGCUUAUCAGCUUGUUGGUGGGGUAGUGGCUUACCAAGGCUUUGACGGGUAGCCGGCCUGAGAGGGUGACCGGCCACCUUGGGACUGAGGUACGGCCCAGACUCCUACGGGAGGCAGCAGUGGGGAAUAUUGCACAAUGGGCGGAAGCCUGAUGCAGCAACGCCGCGUGCGUGAUGACGGCUUUCGGGUUGUAAACCGCUUUCGACUGUGACGAAGCGUGAGUGACGGUAAUGGGUAAAGAAGCACCGGCUAACUACGUG